rnacentral:lncRNA from 1 species
UUCUGGAGGUCCCCAGUUUAGUUCCCAGCACUCACAAUCGCCAGUCACUCUAGUCCCAGGGCAUCUGAGAGCGUCUUCUGGUCUCCGAGAGCACAAUGGUUCCCCUAGUUAUGGAAGGUUUUAAGCUGGCACGUGGGUGCUGGCCAGCAAGUCCCAGUCUUCCCUAAAAGCAUCCGAAGGGAGCCUUCUCUCCAGCACCGCUUCUCUUGUGCUAUUUGAAAUAUCCUUGUUUCCUUGGUGUUAGUGAGGAUAGGAUAUUGUUGGAGUUUUUACAGGCUUACAUUAGAACCUUUGUCCUUCCAUUAAUAGACUUCACAGAUGGAUAUAAAAGUCUCUUUAGUUGGCCCCACCCUGGGCCUUAAUUGGUGCUUAGUCUUCUCCCUGUUUAGCCACACUCAUAGAAGUGACAGUUGAGGUCUAUAGAGUACUUAUUACACCAUGGGUACUUCUUAGAAUCUUUUCUGAAAAUCAUUAAUCUUAAAAUUUUAUAACUAUACAAUCAUUAAUCUUAAAAUUUUAUAACUAUCUAUAAUCUAAUCUUAAAAUAAUUUUUACAUUCUUUCCCCAAGUUUGUCACUUCUCUGUGCACACUUCCACCUUUCUUCCUCCUCUGGUCCUUCAUUGACCUGUUUCCCUUCAACUGACACUGAGUGCUGAGGAACAUUCUGUCUGCAGCUGAGCCUGCUGACAGUCGGGCUCCUUAGGAGGUAUUUCUCCAGGUUUGAUAUUCAGAUACUGUUUUGUAACUUGAGGCUAACCCAAAAGAAAAAUAAAUUAUAUAUGUUUACAUAUAUAAGCAGUGACAUCUUUCCAAGUGGUCAGUGCUAGUUUUAUAUUAGUAAAGUUCAGGAAAGGACUUCAGCCAGGCUGUAGUGGACCAAACAGCUAGGAUUUUACAGAGGAGCUACUGGCUUUGAUAGAUGCUAAAUGAAAAAGAAUGUGAUGUUGACUGUAACUACAGAAGAGAAGACAGAAAUGGAUGUUUGCUGUUUGUAUGACAUUUUCCUGAAAGCUACAUCCCAGUGUUCUAUAACUUCUAGACUUCAGAGAGGACUAGUGCAAACAAAACCAAAUAUUUCAGAAGGAAAUCAGAUUAUUUUUCUCAGCUCUACUGGGUUUCAACUAGCAAAUAUGUUUUGACCUCUUAAUUCUGACAGUGAUCCUAAUUAGGGGACCUUGAUUGACAGAGUGGUUAAUUGAAAUUUAACUACAGAGCUCACUGCUGGCAGAGUAAGUAUUGCUUGAAAUAUCUAUAAUUCUGAAUGAAUGAGUAGUGGUUACCAGUCAGGAUGAGGUAACCCAUGCCAGAUAAUAUACUACACAGACCAUGGUGGCCUCUGCAGCAGUCUCACACAAACUUUGUGCCAGACUCCAUCUGGCUUGUUCAUCAUGAGGCCAUGAUGACCUACCUUGGCAACCCAGUCCCAUGACCACUAGGAUAAGGACUGGCAUUUCACAUACUGACUCUUAAUGGCUUUUACCAAUGAACCAUAUAGGGUUAGUGUUAUUGGCCAAAGCAAUUAAGUGGCUUCAUCUAAAUUCAGGGUAUCAGGAAAGCACAAUCCUGCCCUGUGAUCCAAUGGGAGAAUUGGAAAUAUCUAUUGAGCAGUAUUAGUACACUUAGCGUGUGCUUAUAAAUGAUGUUCUCCUGGAGUCUUCUGUCUAGUAAGG